UACGACCCGAGCAGUCGCACGUGAGCGUGCGGU
rnacentral:sRNA from 1 species